rnacentral:rRNA from 1 species
UACGUAGGCAGCGAGCGUUGUUCGGAGUUACUGGGCGUAAAGGGCGUGUAGGCGGUUGUUUAAGUUUGGUGUGAAAUCUCCCGGCUCAACUGGGAGGGUGCGCCGAAUACUGAAUGACUAGAGUGCGGGAGAGGAAAGUGGAAUUCCUGGUGUAGCGGUGAAAUGCGUAGACAUCAGGAGGAACACCGGUGGUGUAGACGGCUUUCUGGACCGUAACUGACGCUGAGACACGAAAGCGUGGGUAGCAAACAGG